AUGUAGCUCAAUGGUAGAAUUCUUGCUUUCCACGCAAGAGGCUCUGGGUUAGAUAUCCAGCAU
rfam:Heterocephalus glaber contig199099, whole genome shotgun sequence.